rnacentral:rRNA from 1 species
UACGGGGGGGGCAAGCGUUGUUCGGAAUUACUGGGCGUAAAGGGCUCGUAGGCGGCCAACUAAGUCAGACGUGAAAUCCCUCGGCUUAACCGGGGAACUGCAUCUGAUACUGGAUGGCUUGAGAUUGGGAGAGGGAUGCGGAAUUCCAGGUGUAGCGGUGAAAUGCGUAGAUAUCUGGAGGAACACCGGUGGCGAAGGCGGCAUCCUGGACCGACACUGACGCUGAGGCGCGAAAGCUAGGGGAGCAAACGGGG